UACGUAGGGUGCGAGCGUUAAUCGGAAUUACUGGGCGUAAAGCGUGCGCAGGCGGUUUGUUAAGACAGAUGUGAAAUCCCCGGGCUUAACCUGGGAACUGCAUUUGUGACUGCAUAGCUAGAGUACGGUAGAGGGGGAUGGAAUUCCGCGUGUAGCAGUGAAAUGCGUAGAUAUGCGGAGGAACACCGAUGGCGAAGGCAAUCCCCUGGACCUGUACUGACGCUCAUGCACGAAAGGCGUGGGGAGCAAACAGG
rnacentral:rRNA from 1 species